UGGGGAAUCUUCCGCAAUGGACGAAAGUCUGACGGAGCAACGCCGCGUGAGUGAUGACGGUCUUCGGAUUGUAAAGCUCUGUUAAUCGGGACGAAUGGUUUAUGUGCAAAUAGUGCAUAGACAUGACGGUACCGGAAUAGAAAGCCACGGCUAACUACGUGCCAGCAGCCGCGGUAAUACGUAGGUGGCAAGCGUUGUCCGGAAUUAUUGGGCGUAAAGCGCGCGCAGGCGGACUAGCCAGUCAGUCUUAAAAGUUCGGGGCUUAACCCCGUGAUGGGAUUGAAACUACUAGUCUAGAGUAUCGGAGAGGAAAGUGGAAUUCCUAGUGUAGCGGUGAAAUGCGUAGAUAUUAGGAAGAACACAAGUGGCGAAGGCGACUUUCUGGACGAACACUGACGCUGAGGCGCGAAAGCCAGGGGAGCGAACGGG
rnacentral:rRNA from 1 species